rnacentral:rRNA from 1 species
CACGUAGGGUGCGAGCGUUGUCCGGAAUUAUUGGGCGUAAAGAGCUCGUAGGCGGUGUGUCGCGUCGGCCGUGAAAACCUGCAGCUUAACUGUGGGCGUGCGGUCGAUACGGGCAUCACUGGAGUUCGGCAGGGGAGACUGGAAUUCCUGGUGUAGCGGUGAAAUGCGCAGAUAUCAGGAGGAACACCGGUGGCGAAGGCGGGUCUCUGGGCCGAUACUGACGCUGAGGCGCGAAAGCGUGGGGAGCAAACAGG